AGGUCAUUCAUGGAAGAAACAUGAGACAAGGAAGGUCCAGCUGGAGUCGGUUUCAAAAUUGGUUCUGCAAUUGCAAAAAGAAGAUUACGGUGCCUUCUUCCUUGCUAUAAUAAAGGUUUGGUGCUACCUUUUAAGAAGAAGUAAAUUUCACACCAUUGAAAAGCGGCUGAUGGUGCUAACUUGACCAUCUUACACGCAGAAUCGACUCGGUCAAGCUUCUAAGUAUCCAAGUGUGACCCAUUGUCUAUCAGCUACACUCGCUUGGCAGCUUGCUCGCAGGCGCUUCCUCCUCCAACGACCUGCAUAGAUAUCUGUAGCUCUUGUGGUAGAACAAUCGCAUGCUAGGAUCACAACUUACUCAAAAGGUGCGACCUGAAGGAGAAAUACUUUUUAGUCGUAGUGGGCAAUGUAAUCUUCUUUUGGGACAGAAAUGUCUCGCAUGUUUUGAUAAUACAAGUCUGCGUGCCCAUGCUGUACAUGUAUUUUGGAUU